rnacentral:rRNA from 1 species
UGCGUAGGCGGGCUAAUUAGUCAGUGGUGAAAACCUGCAGCUUAACUGUAGACUUGCCAUUGAUACUGUUAGUCUUGAGUACGGUCAAGGUAGGCGGAAUGUGUAAUGUAGCGGUGAAAUGCUUAGAUAUUACACAGAACACCGAUUGCGAAGGCAGCUUACUGGGCCAUUACUGACGCUGAGACACGAAAGCGUGGGGAGCGAACCGGAUUAGAUACCCGAGUAGUCC